AUUGAACGCUGGCGGCAGGCCUAACACAUGCAAGUCGAGCGGGGUUUUCGGACCUAGCGGCGGACGGGUGAGUAAUGCGUAGGAAGCUGCCCGAUAGAGGGGGAUACCAGUUGGAAACGACUGUUAAUACCGCAUAAUGUCUACGGACCAAAGUGUGGGACCUUCGGGCCACAUGCUAUCGGAUGCGCCUACGUGGGAUUAGCUAGUUGGUGAGGUAAUGGCUCACCAAGGCGACGAUCUCUAGCUGGUUUGAGAGGAUGAUCAGCCACACUGGGACUGAGACACGGUCCAGACUCCUACGGGAGGCAGCAGUGGGGAAUAUUGGACAAUGGGCGCAAGCCUGAUCCAGCCAUGCCGCGUGUGUGAAGAAGGCCUUCGGGUUGUAAAGCACUUUCAGCGAGGAGGAAGGAUGGUGUGUUAAUAGCACAUCAUUUUGACGUUACUCGCAGAAGAAGCACCGGCUAACUCUGUGCCAGCCGCCGCCGUAACAC
rnacentral:rRNA from 1 species